UAGGGAAUCUUCCACAAUGGACGCAAGUCUGAUGGAGCAACGCCGCGUGAGUGAAGAAGGUUUUCGGAUCGUAAAGCUUUGUUGUUGGUGAAGAAGGAUAGAGGCAGUAACUGGUCUUUAUUUGACGGUAAUCAACCAGAAAGUCACGGCUAACUACGUGCCAGCAGCCGCGGUAAUACGUAGGUGGCAAGCGUUGUCCGGAUUUAUUGGGAGUAAAGCGAGCGAAGCCGGAAUGAUAAGUCUGAUGUGAAAGCCCACGGUUCAACCGUGGAACUGCAUCGGAAACUGUCAUUCUUAAAUGCAGAAGAGGAGAGUGGAAUUCCAUGUGUAGCGGUGGAAUGCGUAGAUAUAUGGAAGAACACCAGUGGCGAAGGCGGCUCUCUGGUCUGCAACUGACGCUGAGGCUCGAAAGCAUGGGUAGCGAACAGG
rnacentral:rRNA from 1 species